rfam:Ruminococcus sp. CAG:624 genomic scaffold, scf301
UAUCCCUUUAAGUUAAUCCUGUGAGGUUGACAAGGCGGUAAUCCUUAUAUGCUGUAUCGCUAUAGCUAUAUACAAUUACUACGCUUACCUGUCAGCAUCAGGUAAGCGUUUUUUAAG